GGUCGACCACAAUCUUCGUGACAGCAUCUUUGGGAUCGGUGAGCGACUCGGUGUCCUAGCCGCUGGACCCGAAAAGAAGUAACCAACCGGAAUGCAAGGGACGCUGUCAUUGGGAGUGAUGACGUUUCUUUGGCGCUGCGAAAUAAAGGUGUUUUGCAAAUUGA